AUUACAGAGAGUUUGAUCCUGGCUCAGGAUGAACGCUGGCGGCGUGUCUAAGGCAUGCAAGUCGAAUGGUCACUUCGGUGGCCAUGGCAAACGGGAGAGUAACGCAUUGGUAAUCUACCCCGAAGUCGAGUAUAACCCGGAGAAAUCUGGAAUAAUCCUCGAUAAUAGUGACUGUCACAUGGCAGUUACUUAAAGUUCCGACGCUUCGGGAGGAACCUAUGUCCUAUCAGCUAGUUGGUGAGGUAACGGCUCACCAAGGCUAUGACAGGUACCGGGUGUGAGAGCAUGACCCGGCCCACUGGGACUGAGACACUGCCCAGACUCCUACGGGAGGCUGCAGUCAAGAAUAUUCCUCAAUGGCCGAAAGGCUGAAGGAGCGACGCCGCGUGUAUGAUGAAGCCCUUUGGGGUGUAAAAUACUUUUAUUUCGUAUUAUUUGAGCGCGACUCUUAGUGGUAACAUUAAGAUGCAUAACUCGGCUUAUAUGCUGGAAACUCUAAUCAUAUUAAUCUGUUGCGUAGUGAUUAGACAAUCAGCAGGGAAGUUGUUAUAAUAUAGGUAUGGAAAUUGCGCUAACUAAAAGACAAAAAGCGAUUAUUGUCGGCAAUAUAUUAGGAGACGGUUACUUAGAAUUUAAUGGUUUUCAUGGCACAAGAUUACAAAUGAAACAGUCACAAAAAUAUAAAGAAUAUAUUUUAUGGUUAUACCAAGAACUAAAGAAUCUAUGUAAAAGUGAACCUAAUAAAAGGCGUGAUGGUAGUCAGUGGUUUUUCGGUACAAGGUACAUUAAUGACCUCACCAAACUAAGAAAACAGUUUUAUGAUGAAGACGGCAAAAAAAGAAUACCAGAUAAUAUUUCUGAUAUUUUAACUAGCCCUUUAUCAUUAGCAGUUUGGUAUAUGGACGAUGGUACUUUAGAUUGGAGACCAAAAGAUCAUUAUGCUUUUAGCUUAACUAUUAAUUGCUUUUCUCUACAAGAUGCCGCAAGGCUAUCAGAAACUUUAUCUAGUAAUUUUGAUAUUGAAUCUAAUGUACAAAAUCCAUUGUGCAGAGGGAUAAGAUACCCAAAACUUUAUAUAGGAAAAGUUGGCAGAGAAAAAUUUUUGUCUUUAAUUAGACCUUAUAUUAGGAUGGUGAUAUAGUCCAAUGGCAAUUUAUACUAAUUGGCCAGCAGCAGCGGUAAUACGAGUGCCCCGAGUGUUAUCCGGAUUUAUUGGGCGUAAAGCGUCCGCAGGUUGCUCAUUACAUCUCCUGUUAAAUCUCAGAGCUCAACUCUGAGGCCGCGGGAGAUAUGGAUGGGCUAGAGGCUGGAAGAGGCAAACGGAAUUGCUGGUGUAGGGGUUAAAUCCGUUAAUAUCAGCAGGAACACCAAAAGCGAAAGCAGUUUGCUGGGACAGUCCUGACACUCAUGGACGAAAGCGUGGGGAGCGAAUGGGAUUAGAUAGAUCCCAACUGUAGUUAUUAAUUUAACAAGCAGUAAAUGGUGUCCACCUUAGCGGUGACGCUAAGAGUGCAUUCAGCUAUAUCGGGGAACACCCUAAACAUAAUAUGCGGAAUACUACUGCCGCGUUUAGGACAAUCCCGAGGGAAGUUCAUCAAAUUUAUUUGAUAUGGACCCCGUAGAGACUAUGAAGUUAGAUAUAAGAUAGAGGGUGCUAAUGAUAAAUGUAUGAAUCAAUAUCAAAAAGUGCCUUUGUCGAAUCGAACCAAGGAGAUUCUUCUAGGAUCUGUCUUGGGAGAUGGUUCACUAAAGAUACAUAAACCUUACAAGAAUGCGCGAUUUUCUUUUCGCCAUUCUAUCAUUCAAAAAUCUUAUUUUGAAUGGAAGGUUAAACAACUUGAAGAAAUUUCUUCACUAAAAUGUUUCUGGUUACAGAAACCAGAUAAAGGAUUUUCUGAAAACUUUAAACUCAGAUAUCAAAGCAAGGCUUUAGAGCCAUUAACCGAUUUGUAUAAAUUUACUUCCAAAAGAGGUAAACUUAAAAUCAGUCGUUCGUGGCUUAAUUACAUGACUCCACUAUCAUUGGCCAUUUGGUGGCUUGAUGAUGGCUCCAUUAUUGCUAAUGGGCGUAAAGGAGUUAUUUGUACAGAUGGAUUUGAUGAAAAAUCCGUUAAAGUUUUAGCUAGAUAUUUGCAAGUAGUUUGGAAAAUCGAAACUAAACCGGCAAUUAUUACUAGACCGCGUAAUGGCAAACAACAAGAAUAUUGGCGUUUGUGGUUAAGGUCAACAAGUGAAUUAAAAAAAUUUUUGCAGAUUAUUUUACCUUAUAUAGAGGUAGAAGAAAUGUUACCCAAAGUGAUAUUGUUAUAUCACGAUUAUCAACUUCAACAACGCUGGAUUUCUGAGAUAGUAAAAUCUACUAAUUUUUCUGAAGCUACUAUUAACAAAUAUGUAGAUUUAAAGAAAAAUAAGUGGAAAGAAUAUCAGAAAAAGAUAUAGUCCAACCUUUAUAGUAAUAUAAAGAAGCAUUGACCCCAGUAGUCCACGCCGUAAACGAUGGAUGCUAAGCAUUGGAAGUAUCGACCCUUUCAGUGCUGUUUACCUAAGCUAACGCAUUAAGCAUCCCGCCUGGGGAGUACGGCCGCAAGGCUAAAACUCAAAGGAAUAGACGGGGACCCGCACAAGCGGUGGAGCAUGUGGUUUAAUUCGAUGAUAAGCGAGGAACCUCACCAAGGUUUGACAUCUAGCUGCAGACCCCUGGAAACAGGGGAGCCUUCGAGGGUGCUAGACAGAUGCUGCAUGGUUGUCGUCAGCUCGUGCUGUGAAGUGUACCGUUAAGUCGGGAAACGAGCGCAACCCCUAUCCUAUGUUUCAUGUGUCAUAGGAGACUGCCUGCUUUAAGCAGGAGGAAGGCGGGGAUGAUCGGAUUGGAGUCUGCAACUCGACUCCAUGAAGUUGGAAUCGCUAGUAAACGCGAAUCAGCCAUGUCGCGUUGAAUACGUUCUCGGGUCUUGUACUCACAAUAAAAGCGCUGGGCAGUUUUUUUAUCUAAGGAGUUAAAAUCUCCUCCUCC
rfam:Parcubacteria (Falkowbacteria) bacterium GW2011_GWA2_39_24 TT42_C0028, whole genome shotgun sequence.